rnacentral:rRNA from 1 species
CGAACGGGUGAGUAACGCGUGAGGAACCUGCCUCAAAGAGGGGGACAACAGUUGGAAACGACUGCUAAUACCGCAUAAGCCCACGGCUCGGCAUCGAGCAGAGGGAAAAGGAGCAAUCCGCUUUGAGAUGGCCUCGCGUCCGAUUAGCUAGUUGGUGAGGUAACGGCCCACCAAGGCGACGAUCGGUAGCCGGACUGGAGGUUGAACGGCCACAUUGGGACUGAGACACGGCCCAG